rnacentral:rRNA from 1 species
AUUGAACGCUGGCGGCAUGCUUUACACAUGCAAGUCGAACGGACUUAGGUGCUUGCACCUAGGUUAGUGGCGAACGGGUGAGUAAUGCAUCGGAACGUACCGUGUAAUGGGGGAUAACGCAGCGAAAGUUGUGCUAAUACCGCAUACGAUCUAAGGAUGAAAGCAGGGGAUCUUCGGACCUUGUGCUCCUGGAGCGGCCGAUAUCUGAUUAGCUAGUUGGUGAGGUAAAGGCUCACCAAGGCAUCGAUCAGUAGCUGGUCUGAGAGGACGACCAGCCACACUGGAACUGAGACACGGUCCAGACUCCUACGGGAGGCAGCAGUGGGGAAUUUUGGACAAUGGGGGCAACCCUGAUCCAGCAAUGCCGCGUGAGUGAAGAA